CCUUUAAGCAUGCAUACACACACACACUUUGCCCCCUUCUCCCUUCCUUUCUUGUUUGGAGGCCUUUUAAAAGUCCCCCCUGUGUUGACACGGAUGACAGUGAAAGGUUUCUCGGGCUGCCCCCUUUCCAAAGUUGGGGACCUUCAGGACUGAGAUGCGGAGCUACAUGACGAGCAAGGAUCACCUCCCUUUUAAACCUUGCUUACUGAUAAAAGACAUUUCUUCUGAAGCAACAACUCUUGAGUGGGAAAUGUUUGGGACUGGAUGAGUCCCUGGAACCAGAAAAUCUACCUGAAUGUAUUUAGCCUGUUGUUGUUGUUGCAAGCACCAUUAUCAAUAGGGUAUACUUCGACACAUACACAGUGUCUGUGUUUUACUGGUCGACUUAAAACUCCUCUGCCUCCCCCCUCGGCUCCUGUGCAAUGUCUGCUGUCUCCCAAUAGCUUUGCCCAACUUUGGAAACUUCACCAGGGGAUGUUCAGUUUAGAGAACUUUAUGGGUGACUUGGAUGGGCUCCUCUUCUUUAUUUCUUUUUUUUAUGGCACGGAAAUGUUCCCCACAAUGGUGGCCCUCCUUCCUUUUGACAUUCAAGGGAGCUGACGUCACACCCACCGAGUUGUCAUGGAGAACGGCAACCGGCUUAAAAUUAUAAAGCGUGAUAUUAUGGCGCAACAUAAAAUAGGGAUAUAAGCAAAGACGCACGCCCGCCCCGCCAGCCGAUUAAACAAAGAAGAAUACGAUUUUAAUACGUUCGGGAAGAAUAA